AUUGAACGCUGGCGGCAUGCCUUACACAUGCAAGUCGAACGGGAGCACGGGUGCUUGCCCCUGGUGGCGAGUGGCGAACGGGUGAGUAAUACAUCGGAACAUGUCCUGUAGUGGGGGAUAGCCCGGCGAAAGCCGGAUUAAUACCGCAUACGAUCUACGGAUGAAAGCGGGGGACCUUCGGGCCUCGCGCUAUAGGGUUGGCCGAUAGCUGAUUAGCUAGUUGGUGGGGUAAAGGCCUACCAAGGCGACGAUCAGUAGCUGGUCUGAGAGGACGACCAGCCACACUGGGACUGAGACACGGCCCAGACUCCUACGGGAGGCAGCAGUGGGGAAUUUUGGACAAUGGGCGAAAGCCUGAUCCAGCAAUGCCGCGUGUGUGAAGAAGGCCUUCGGGUUGUAAAGCACUUUUGUCCGGAAAGAAAUCCUUGGCUCUAAUACAGUCGGGGGAUGACGGUACCGGAAGAAUAAGCACCGGCUAACUACGUG
rnacentral:rRNA from 1 species